rnacentral:rRNA from 1 species
CCUACGGGAGGCAGCAGUGAGGAAUAUUGGUCAAUGGGCGAGAGCCUGAACCAGCCAAGUCGCGUGAAGGAUGAAGGAUCUAUGGUUUGUAAACUUCUUUUAUAUGGGAAUAAAGUGAGGAACGUGUUCCUUUUUGUAUGUACCAUAUGAAUAAGCAUCGGCUAACUCCGUGCCAGCAGCCGCGGUAAUACGGAGGAUGCGAGCGUUAUCCGGAUUUAUUGGGUUUAAAGGGUGCGUAGGCGGAAUAUCAAGUCAGCGGUAAAAAUUCGGGGCUCAACCCCGUCGUGCCGUUGAAACUGAUGUUCUUGAGUGGGCGAGAAGUAUGCGGAAUGCGUGGUGUAGCGGUGAAAUGCGUAGAUAUAAGGAAGAACACCAGUGGCGAAGGCGGAUUACUGGACGAUAACUGACGGUGAGGCGCGAAAGCGUGGGGAGCAAACAGGAUUAGAUACCCCUGUAGUC